rnacentral:rRNA from 1 species
UACGUAGGGUGCGAGCGUUAAUCGGAAUUACUGGGCGUAAAGCGUGCGCAGGCGGUAAGUUAAGUCUGAUGUGAAAGCCCCGGGCUCAACCUGGGAAUGGCAUUGGAAACUGGCUUGCUGGAGUGUGGCAGAGGGGGGUGGAAUUCCGCGUGUAGCAGUGAAAUGCGUAGAGAUCGGAAAGAACACCAACGGCGAAAGCACUCUGCUGGGCCGACACUGACACUGAGAGACGAAAGCUAGGGGAGCGAAUGGG